GCACACAUAUCUGUACAUAUACAUGUGAGUGUACAUAUAUACACAUAUACACAUCUAUGUAUGGAUAUGUGUGUAU
rnacentral:pre_miRNA from 1 species